UUGGCUGUUUUCCUGCACAGGAGGGCGGUAGGCACCCAUGGCGCCCAGCCGGAAUGGCAUGAUCUUGAAGCCCCACUUUCGCAAGGACUGGCAGCGGCGCAUGGCCACGUGGUUCAGCCAGCAGGCGCGGAAGAUCCGCAGAGUCAGGGCCCUGCAAGCCAAGGCGCGCCGCAUGGCAUCCGGGCCCAGCCAGCCCAUCGUGAGUCCGUACCACACGGAGGCAAGCGUAGGCCGGGGCUUCAGUCUGAAGGAGCUCAGGGUGGCCGGCAUUCACAAGAAGGUGGCCCGGAUCAUUGGCAUUUUUGUGGAUCCGAGGAGGUGGAACAAGUCCACUGCUGUCCCGGCAGGCCAAUGUACAGCGGCUGAAGGAGUAGCUCUCCAAACUCAUUUUCUUCCUCAGGAAGCCCUCGGCCCCCCAAGAAGGGAGACAGUUCUGCUGAAGAACUGAAACUGGCCGCUCAACUGACGGGACCGGUCAUGCCCACCCAGAAUGUCUACAAGAAGGAGAAAGCUCGAGUCGUCACUGAGGAGGAGAAGAAUGUCAAAGCCUUGGCUAGUCUCCGCAUGGCCCGUGCCAAUGCCCGGAUUUUCGGCAUAUGGGCAAAAAGAGCCAAGGAAGCUGCAGAACAGAAUGUUGAAAGAAAAAAUAAAGCCCUCUUGGGGACUUGA